AGUUCCUUGCCAGAGAGUUUAGCUUUAUAGCCCUUUGCCUUUUCUCUAGAACUCAAAGAAUUAAAACAAGGAAUGAUGUGGUCUUGUUUUAAGAAGAGAAACUAGGAGGAAAAACCAGCAACUAUUUCCUUUGGAAUUUAAGCUUGCCUCUGAUAGUUUCUUUUUUCUUCUCCCUCUCUGUGUCUGUCUUGCCCUCCUUUCCUCUCCCUUCCUCUCGCUCCUUCAAUCUCCCUUUCUUAAGCUUCUGCCCUCUCUUCACUCUCUCCCAGCCUGAAAUUCAAAAGGAAGCCUGUGUAGGACUGAAUCUGCCAUUCCUUCUCCACGUCUUCCCCAGGGGGGCCCUUGGAAGGGUCUCCACCCCGCUACCUUUCCUCCUGGAGCUCAUUCCGAGACUUACCGAGUGGCCCACAAUGUCUCCCAACCUGCCCACACACACACCAAACUGGAAGUGUUUUCCUCCCCAGUACUCUUUUCCCUGCUCCUUCCACUCUAAUUAAGCCUUAUCCGAGGUGUAGGAAAUGGGGGCGGAAAGAGAUGAGGGAGACGAGGGGCUGCAGGGGACCCAGAAGCCCAAAUCGAAAGUCUUUUUGUGAGGUGGCACUCUAGCUGCGAUCAUUAACUCUCACUUUCGCUCCGUUUUAAACUAAGACUCACUUACAUCUUGUUUAUCAAAUUCGUUUUAAUUCCUCUUGGUCAGGUUCCAAGAGGGGUGGUGGAGAUUAAAGGCAACUGCGAAAUCCAAUUAGCAGCCCCGUCUUCUCCAGGCCGAGAUGCUGGGUCCAAAGGAGAUCAAAGCAGAUACUUUCUGGACGACUCUGUUCAUUAACCGGCAGGCGCCUCACACUGCUCUGCCGGCUCAUUACCGAGCCCAGGCCUGGGGACCGGAUCUCCGACGAUCCCACGACUGGGUCGGGGACACCCGCAGGAAAAUCACCAAGCCCGACCCACUUGGAGAGUGCCCAUCCCCCAGUCAGGCCUCACGGUGGGUCAAUUGAAGCAGAGGGACGGCUCCGAGCUUUAGGUGCCUACCAGCAAUCUGUGUCCCUUAAUUCUCUUAAAGAGUGCAGGCAAGAAUGCACACUCACAUCCACAAACACACACACACACACACACACACACACAUACACACAUACAGAGAAGAAAAUCUAGGUAAAUCCAGAUUUCACUGAUCGCCUAAGGCCAGAGGAUCGUUCUCUGAAAAUCCAACAACUCUAACUGAUCCCUCCACCUUUGUUCCUGUAGCUAUCAGCCUCUCACACUUUUUCAUGGAAACGCGACCCAGCUCUGCGCUUACUCUAGCGGGGCAAGUCUGAGGUCCUCUGCCCUGCAAACGUAACUAGGGGGGGAAAUCCUUUGCCUUGUCUAGGAGACACAGGAGACCUCGGAAAAGAAAUGACUCACCGGUGGCCGGCCUUAGGUCCCAGGAGGAGCCUUUUCCAGUGUCCUGAGGACUUUUGCCCAGGCAUCCAAGCGGCUCUUUGGCAUGGCCUGGAAGACAGAAGUGGAGUUUCACCAACAACAACCAGAGCAUUUGCAAACCCUAAACAUCUUGAAUCCAUAAUUACAACCUGCAGACGGGACUGGACAAUAAAACAUUGGGGCCUGAGAUUUGGGGAAGCCUUCUGGGACAGGGCCUGGAAUAAAUAAAAAAAAAUUUUUAAACAG